rnacentral:rRNA from 1 species
UACGUAGGGUGCAAGCGUUGUCCGGAAUUAUUGGGCGUAAAGAGCUCGUAGGCGGUUCGUCGCGUCGGCUGUGAAAUCCCGAGGCUCAACCUCGGGUCUGCAGUCGAUACGGGCGGACUGGAGUUCGGCAGGGGAGACUGGAAUUCCCGGUGUAGCGGUGAAAUGCGCAGAUAUCGGGAGGAACACCGGUGGCGAAGGCGGGUCUCUGGGCCGGUACUGACGCUGAGGAGCGAAAGCGUGGGGAGCGAACAGG